rnacentral:rRNA from 1 species
UACGUAGGGUGCGAGCGUUAAUCGGAAUUACUGGGCGUAAAGCGUGCGCAGGCGGUUUUGUAAGCCAGAUGUGAAAUCCCCGGGCUCCAACCUGGGAAUGGCAUUUGGGACUGGCAAGGCUGGAGUACGGCAGAGGAGACUGGAAUUCCUGGUGUAGCAGUGAAAUGCGUAGAUAUCAGGAGGAAUACCGAUGGCGAAGGCGGCAUCCUGGACCGAGAUUGACACUAAAGCGCGAAAGCCAGGGGAGCAAACGGG